UCUCAUAAUUAUCUUGAAUUCUUGAUUGUUCAUUCAAUUCUAUCACUGAGAUUUCUGGGAUUCAUUCUUUAAUUUGGGAGUUCUGAACUCCAAAUCUUGGUUGGUUAUAUCAGAAAGUCAAAUCAGCUUUUUAGAUUCCACUCAUAAGUUGCUUUGCCUUUUGCCUGGUAACAGUGGUGGAGUGGAUUCAGUUUCUUGAUUUUGUUAUAAGUUAUGUCAAUUUGCCCUCUGUAGAAAAAGGGCCUUUUUGUUUGUUCUACUUAGAAGAUCUGAGUUCAUUAAGGAGCUAGGUUGAGCCAAUAAAUGAAAAUGGAGGGGAGAGGAUUCUCAGAGUUGUAUAGAAAUACAAGUGAAGAAUUGUUCAUAAGAACUAUGAUGGAGAACUCGAUUGCGAUGCCUGCACCAACGAUUGACAUGCUGAGCUUUAGGAAUCUAUCUCAGUCAUUCAGAACAGAUAGCGAGGAACUGUUUAAAACCUGGCUUACAUGUGGAGAGAAUAAUGGAAGUAGUCCUACAAUGGCAGCUAACCGAACGAGACAAGCAUCUAGAAGGAUCUCUACUGAAAUAGCUGGUCUCCCUAACCAGCAGCAAGCUGGAACUCAGAAAAGAAAAGGCGAGGACGCUUUGCUCCCUCAAACAAAUUCCUCCGCUAAUGAACCUUCAAGCGGUCUUAAUCAACAAUCACUAAGGAAUACAGCAGGAAAGGAAAUGCAAGCUGCUAACUUUUAUUUGGCUAAGGCAUGGUUCCAUAGUUCUCAACCUAUGACAAGAAGUCGGUCCUCCGAGUUAAGGAGGAGAUAUGCAGCCAUGCAGAGCUCGCAAUUAGGCGUGGAACACUUGCAGACUGAAUCAGGAAGUGGUAUCGAGACCUUCAAACAAGAAUUUGGCAACACGAAUGGAUUCACUGACCUGCCAACAAGAUAUGAAAUGCCUAACCAACUAAGCAGUUUCGUGUCGCCCUCCAAUUCAUCUUCGUCUACUUUCGAAGCUCAAAACGUGGAUGCUGCAGAUAAGAUUUCUUCUGUAGUGAGCAUGCUGAAGGGUACCCUAGAGCGCAAAAAAUUGAGUGGUCAUUGCCAUACUACGAUAGAAGCCUUAGAGGAUAGCUCUGCGGGGAUAUAUGGGGCUCACGAGGUCUUGUGUAACUCGAGCUUGAAUCAUAUGCUAGGAGGCCACGUUUAUGAAAAGCAUGAGGCACUUCAAGAUGCGUCGUUUUUUCAAGUAAAUGAAACCAGAGUUUUUCAAGCAGCGGGGGGUUCGUUAGAUGCCAAGUUAGAAGAUGCCAUGGCUCCCACGAGCCUCAUCCAAAUUGGCGCACCAUCACAAGAGCUAUCUCAAAGCGAAUCUUCAGUCGUUCCACUCGUAAUUUCAACAGGAUUCGACAUAUGUGAUGGUUCCAGCAACACAUAUCAGGCACAAAAUGGAAGGAGCACUGAAAACGGUUCAUCAACCAGAGAUAUCAGAGAACGCACAUAUGAGAACUCAAAAGAUAAUCAAAAGAAAGGAGGCUUAGUUAGAUAUGGAUCUGUAAAAUCAUCUCAGUCAGUGGAGAAUGGAGAUCCAACGAAGAAGCGUAGGGUGGAGCGGUCAAGAAAAAUGGCAGAAGCAAAAGAGAGAAACUUAACCCCUGCAGUUCCUUCUGAUAUGCAAUCUGUGUUGAAGCGAUGCGAGAAUCUUGAGAAGGAAGUGCGUUCCCUGAAACUUAAUUUGGCGUUCAUGAAUAGAAAAGAUUCUGAACAAAUAAAGCAGAUCGAAGAGCUGCAGAAGCAAAACGAGGAUCUGUCGAAGGAAAAAGAGCGCCUUCUUGAAGAGAUCGAGAGGAUCAUUUCAGAAACGAGCAAUAUGUGACACAAGUAUAUACUCCCGAGCAGUACAAUCUUCGAUGUUUGCUGUGAGCAGGUCCCUUUACCUGCAGGUUUAUGUCACUAUAAUGAUGUUAACUUAAUCUUCUGUAUAACAACAAUGUAAGU